GUCUACGUACCGUACCUAGGUACGCGAUUCGUUUAUUUAUGUUUUGGUUCUUGUCAGUAGUCAUGUUUGUGUUUUGCUUUAUCAGUACGAAUGUCACUAUGCACUUACAGUGCGCACGAAGACGAUGCUGAGUUUGUAUUUCGCAUUGUGUUCGGUUUUUUAACGUAAUUUGUGCUACCAGAAUAGCUUUGGUGUCUUUUCUUAAUUUCGUGUGAUGUUGAUGUUUUGUUCCGAGAAGAUUGAAGAUUCAUCGAUGUAGCAGCUGAGCUGCAUGUUUUAUUUCUUCACGAUGUGAUAGUAGUUUUAACUACUUUUUAUUUCUUCUACAAUAAAAUAGCAGUUUUUACUGCUUUUCAUCGACAUCCAGUCAGAACCCGGAUUCCAACAGAGAAGAUGAAUUCUGCUUACCUGUCGUUCAUCAUUGAUCGGCGAAAAUAGAAGAAUAGAAGAAAGAGCUGUCCACCCAGAAGAGUGUUCCAAGAAGAUUCGUCGAAGUAGCAGUCCAUAAUAUACUCGCUUUUUAGCGUUUUAUUAUUUCUUCUCAAUACAAUAUGUGAUUUCUUCUCAAAUUUCGACAUUACUCAACCAAAAGACUGAGUAAUGUUGAACCUGCAUAUGUGAUUAAACACGUUGACUCAUACAACCGAAGUCCUACGGAGGUGUGCUAUGUUAAUUUUAAUGUUGAUCUUUUCUAAUGCAUUGUUUCUUUGCUUAGGUACCUAUUAUGUUGAGCGCAUUGCUAGUUCAAUUUUUUAAGAACAAGAGAACGACACCUGAAACUGAGAUGACCGGAAACAAUGAGCUAAUGACCAAGCUGAGAGCUGGUAACGUGACUGCAGUCCUUUGAAUGAUUCCUGCAAUUGGUAUUGUACCUACAUAUAUUAAUAGGUGUAUUCAGGCUACCCAUAGUGUAUUAUUUUAUGUAUUAUAUGUAUAUCUGUGAUACCUAUGUGCUCUGCAUGGCAUGUGUGUCCUGUGUUAUGAUUGUGUAUGUUUUGCUUUGUGUAGUGUGUACCUAUGUGUUUUGCUUUGUGUGUGUUUUUUUGCUGUGUUCGGGUGUGCUUGUUGUGCUUGUGCUGGCUUGAUCUUCCUCUUACCUUUGCUUUUCCUAUUCUGUAUUCUAUUUUCCUCUCUUUUCCUCUUCCCUUUCUUCAUUUUGUCGCCAAUGAUGAAAAAUCAAUAAGUACAUCUUGGUACUUGAAGAUUCUGAUGGCGACUGUUAGAAUAGAUAGAUAGUUAUAGAUAUAUAUAUUUUGUUUUUGUACGAUUACCUGUAUCGAUUGACCAUUUCUGAUUUUAGUGAGAACUGAAAAAUUGUUGUAAUAAUAGUGUUGUUUUUAGAAGCUCUACGAAAGGAAUCUCCUCAAAGUACUUACCUACAUCUUGAAAAUGCAGAACUGAUCGGCGACUAGACGAGAUUCAUGAAAGUACCUACACGACGAAAAUAAAUAAAGAAGAACAAACAAAUUCUUAAAAUGGU